rnacentral:lncRNA from 1 species
UCAAAUUAUAUCAUCUCUAGCCGCACAGCUCCUAAAGAAUUCUAGCAUUGGCCUCUUCCGUUUCCCAGCCAUUCACAUUAUCCCUCACGCCCGUGAGCUUCAUCCACAUCCAUUCCGCACUUAUCCUCUUAUCCUCUUCUUCAAAACAGAGCCAGCUCAAUCCCAUCUUCUCCGUGAUUCUCUUCCUCCUUAAAUCCUUCCCUCCCAAAGAACAGAUUCUUCUCUUCCGGCUUGAUCUCAUAAAAUCCCCAACGUCCCAGCACCAUCAUCCUCUUCCCAUCGUAGUCUUCACUUCCAGCCAUUCCCUCCAUCUUCACGGGAUAAACUCAAAUCCCAUCCCCCAGCUCAUCCCGCCUUCAUCCCUUUCAGCAUCCAUCAAUUCCCUUCCGUCCGCAUGAACCCAGCAACCGCAUCCAUGGAUAAAGAUCAAAGCCCCAGCUCAUCUGCCUCAGCAAACAGAACCCAAGUCUUCAUCGAUCCAGCCAUAUCCAACAUCCCGUCCGCCCAAGCUUGAUCUCAUUCGUGAUGACCAUCCAGAUCCAUGACAGCAUCCCGAGCUUCACGGAUCAGAGCCUCCAUCUUCACGGGAUAAACUCAAAUCCCAUCCCCCAGCUCAUCCCGCCUUCAUCCCAUCUUUUCAGCAUCCAUCAAUUCCCUUCCGUCCGCAUGAACCCAGCAACCGCAUCCAUGGAUAAAGAUCAAAGCCCCAGCUCAUCUGCCUCAGCAAACAGAACCCAAGUCUUCAUCGAUCCAGCCAUAUCCAUGCUUCCUCUGUUCGCAGAUUGACUCCAUCAUCCACGUCCUCCCUAACUCCCGUGUCCCACGAACAAAACCAAGCCAACGUCUUCCCAGAUUUUCUCCCGUUCGCGAUCGGAUAUGCCAUCCACACCAUCCUUUUCGAGCCGUUUCUCUGCUUCCGGAAGAGAUGGAGCAACCGUACGCGUCUUCCCCGCAUUCACCUCCCCUGCUUCACGUCCGUAGCCAACUUUAUGAGAUCUUCCACAUCUAAAGAGCCGUUGGCCUGUUCCCAGCAAUUCCACGAAUUCCCAGCCGAAUCUAUCAUCCUCAUCCCGUAGCAUCUCAAAUCUCCCAACCAUUUCCUUCCAGCUUUCCACAUCUUUCCCAACUCAUCCCGCGAUGCAUACCUUCUUCCGCAAUCCAUUCCGUGUUCAUCUUCCACAUCACCUCCUCCCAGAUUUCGUCCACAUCACCCAAGGAUCUCUUCCCAUCCUGUGAGCAUCAAAGGAUCUCGUUUCUGCCAAAUCCCAUGGAUCAUCUCCCCUGUCGAGUUCAUCCUCCUGUGAUCCACUCAUCUCCCAGCCCAUUAUUUUCUUUUCCGAAUCCCUGCAUCACAGAACAGAGUAUCGCAACCUCCUUCCAGAUUCCCCAUCUCAGUGGUUCUCCGUGAUUCAUCCAUAUCCCGCGCCCGAGUUGAAGCUCCCUCCUCUGCAUGUUCGGAUGAAAGCCAGCGCAGAUCACGCACACCAAGCUUCUCUCCGUUCAGCCUCCGGAUAAGCUUAAAUCCCUUGCUUCACGUCUGGAAUCCAGCAGCAUUGCGAGCGUAUCUUCACAUCUCGAUCACUUCCCAUAGAUAAGUCCAAGCUUAUUGAGGUGGGCAGCCUAUAAAAGGCCAGGUGUGAAACAGAGGAAGCAACUUGGCUGGGGAUCCACUCCUCUUCGACUCUUCUCAGGUUGAGUUCCCACAAGAAUAAAAGGGGAGAGAGGGAGCCGGCUGGUGGAAGGAGCCAAUCAUCAUGAAGUUCCCCUGCAGUGCAGCUGUUCAACUCUUCAUGGAAGGCUGAUCUUCUCUUUAGGGCUGGAUGCAGCCCUAACAAAGGGACACGGGUUUUAUAUUUUAUUUUAUAUUCUUGGGGUUGUAUGAACUUAUUGUUUUCAAUGGAUAUCUUCUUUUGAAUCAUAUUUAAUUUCUGUGAUUUUAAGUAUGAUGUUCGUACAACUGUUCUUCAUGAUCACUAAGUAAAUAUAAGAUAGUCCAUGCUUAGAAAAGAUGCAGUGUCCUGCCACAUUAGUUUAGGGUAGACAUUUCAUGCCAACCGAAGAUGGAUUAUUUCCAAAUUAUUUUUGUGAAUUUCUAUUUAAAUGCUUAUUAGGCUUGUAGCCAAUUUGCAUAUUAAUCCAAGAAUAAAUCAAAAUACAAAUAACCCUUGUUCCGAUGUUAGUGGUGAAUUUCUUGCCCUAGGUUUUUCUCAAACUGAUAACACUUUAAUUGCAUUUUUAAUUAAAUUUCUUAGUUUAAUUUUCUUCACAAACUCUUUCUUUUAAAUAUUUUUAUUUUUUAAGGAAACAACUGUACCCCAAUCCCUGUGGAUCGAUACCCGUAAUCACUAUCCUACCAGAUACGUGUUAUUGCGUGGUCUUUAAAGUUGACUAUCAAUUUUUGGCGCCGUUGGCGGGGAUUGUUAGCAUAGUUGUUUUUCUUUAAAAAAAAUUUUAAAAAAAAUAAUAAUAAAAAUAAAAAAUAAAAUAAUAAUAUAUAUAUCUAAAAUAAAAUAAAAUAUUUUCUAUUUUUUGUUACUUUCCUUAUCUCUUUUUUCUUUUACUAAUUUUUGAUUUUUCUCUUGAUAUUAUUUGAUCAGGAAUCUAAGAGGAACUCUGGGACGAUCAAAAAGGGAACUGCUAGAAAAAGAAUGCUGUAGAGGUCUGCCUACAAAAAAAAUAAAUAAAAAAAUUGCUGGAAAAAUUUCCUUUGGUAACCUCUAAACCUUUCUUAUUUAAAUUAAUUUUCUUUUGUGGUGAUCGUUUGAUUUUAAAUUCAGCAAAAAGUGUGAAUGCAUGCCUGAUACACAUACACCAAUUAAUCCGCACAUAGUAAGGGCAAUCACCCCAACAAGAUAAGAACUGGAUUUCAUCACCAGAUUCUUGCCCAAA